rnacentral:rRNA from 1 species
AGUGAACGCUGGCGGUAGGCCUAACACAUGCAAGUCGAACGGCAGCACAGUAAGAGCUUGCUCUUACGGGUGGCGAGUGGCGGACGGGUGAGGAAUACAUCGGCAUCUACUUUUUCGUGGAGGAUAACGUAGGGAAACUUACGCUAAUACCGCAUACGACCUACGGGUGAAAUCAGGAGAUCUUCGGACCUUGCGCGAUUGAAUGAGCCGACGUCGGAUUAGCUAGGUGGCGGGGUAACGGCACACCAAGGCGACGAUGCGUAGCUGGUCUGAGAGGAUGAUCAGCCACACUGGAACUGAGACACGGUCCAGACUCCUACGGGAGGCAGCAGUGGGGAAUAUUGCACAAUGGGCGCAAGCCUGAUCCAGCCAUACCGCGUGAGUGAAGAAGGUCUUCGGGUUGUAAAGCUCUUUUGUUGGGAAAGAAAAGCUGCAUGUGUAUACCCCGCUGUUCUGACGGUACCCAAAGAAUAAGCACCGGCUAACUUCGUG